rnacentral:rRNA from 1 species
AUGUGUCGGAAUCUGACUACCAUUUCUUCUAACUUCUGGUGGGGUUCAGCGAAUGGUGGAAAAAAGGUGCACUGGGUCGCUUGAGAUAAGAUGUGUUUGUCUAAAAAAGAAGGUGGCAUGGGGUUCAGGAAUUAUGAAGCUUUUAACCAGGCUCUGCUUGUGAAUCAAGCUUGGAGAAUUCUGAAUGCACCACAUUCCUUGUGUGCUCGUGUCCUUAAAGCCAGAUACUUCAAGGAGGGGUCCAUCAUGAAUGCGACAUGUCCUUCGGGAGGGUCCUAUACUUUUAGAAGCAUUUUGUUUGGACGUGAUCUUCUCAGGGAGGGACUUGUUUGGCAGAUCGGUGAUGGAUUGAGGGUUCUAAUCCAUCAUGACAAUUGGAUUACACAGAAGAGCAACCUUCGACCACUGGGUCAGAUUUUUAUGCAGGGCACCACACGGGUGAGCGACCUACUUACUGCUAAUGAUGAUGAGUGGGACCAUACUGAUACGUCUCUCAUGUAUCUAUAA